CUACGGGGGGCAGCAGUGGGGAAUAUUGGACAAUGGGCGAAAGCCUGAUCCAGCCAUGCCGCGUGUGUGAAGAAGGCCUUCGGGUUGUAAAGCACUUUCAGUGGGGAAGAAAGCCUUGGGGCUAAUACCCUCGAGGAAGGACAUCACCCACAGAAGAAGCACCGGCUAACUCCGUGCCAGCAGCCGCGGUAAUACGGAGGGUGCGAGCGUUAAUCGGAAUUACUGGGCGUAAAGCGCGCGUAGGCGGUCUGAUAAGCCGGUUGUGAAAGCCCCGGGCUCAACCUGGGAACGGCAUCCGGAACUGUCAGGCUAGAGUGCAGGAGAGGAAGGUAGAAUUCCCGGUGUAGCGGUGAAAUGCGUAGAGAUCGGGAGGAAUACCAGUGGCGAAGGCGGUCUUCUGGACUGACACUGACGCUGAGGUGCGAAAGCGUGGGUAGCAAACAGGAUUAGAUACCCUGGUAGUC
rnacentral:rRNA from 1 species